GAUGAACGCUGUCUACAGGCUUAACACAUGCAAGUCGAGGGGAAACGCCGGGGAAGCUUGCUUCCCCGGGCGUCGACCGGCGCACGGGUGAGUAACGCGUAUCCAACCUGCCUCUGACUGAGGGAUAACCCGUCGAAAGUCGGCCUAAUACCUCAUGGCAUCGUCUGCGGGCAUCCAACGACGAUUAAAGAUUUCAUCGGUCAGGGAUGGGGAUGCGUCUGAUUAGCUUGUUGGCGGGGUAACGGCCCACCAAGGCUACGAUCAGUAGGGGUUCUGAGAGGAAGGGCCCCCACAUUGGAACUGGGACACGGUCCAAACACCUACGGGAGGCAGCAGUGAGGAAUAUUGGACAAUGGGCGGGAGCCUGAACCAGCCAAGUAGCGUGCAGGAUGACGGCCCGAUGGGUUGUAAACUGCUGUUAGGCGGGGAUAAAGUGAGGGACGUGUCCUUCAUUGCAGGUACCGCAUGAAUAAGGACCGGCUAAUUCCGUG
rnacentral:rRNA from 1 species